AGCGAGUUGUGUACACUUCCAGUGCAUCAGCAGUUGAGUAUAGUGACAAGGUUGCGGACACAAUGGAUGAGAGCUUUUGGAGUGAUGUGGAUUACAUUAAGUCCUUUAAGUCUUAUUUUGUUCCUUACAAUAUUUGCAAGACAUUAACAGAGAAGAGAGCUCUCGAAUUCGCAGAAGAACAUGGAUUGGAUCUUGUAACAGUAAUUCCUUCUUUUAUUGUUGGUCCCUUUAUUUGUCCUAAGUUCCCUGGUUCAGUGCACACAGCACUGGCUAUGACACUGGGUGAGAGAGAGCAAUAUGUUUUUCUGCUCAAUGUAUCAAUGGUGCACACAGAUGACGUGGCUAGAGCGCACAUAUUUCUUUUUGAAUAUCCUGAUGCAAAAGGGAGGUUCAUUUGCUCUUCACACACCAUAACCAUUGAAGAGUUGUCUAAAUUUCUUUCUGCCAAGUAUCCAGAGUUCCCAAUACCAAAAGUGGAAUCCCUGAAGGAUAUUGAAGGCAAAAAACUCCCAGGAGUGUCUUCAAAGAAACUAUUGGACUCUGGUUUUGAAUUCAACUAUGGGCUAGAUGAGAUGUUUGAUGAAGCAAUUCAAUGCUGCAAAGAGAAGGGCUACCUCUAGUCAUUUUAGGAAUAUAGUUGCCCGUGUAUAUGCUGUUUACUGAAUGCUAUGGAUGCUUAAUAUAUAAUGGUAACGAGGAUUGCAGAGGAUGAUGGUUCCAUCAAUCCAAGAAAUCUGUGUCCAUAAUCUGGAAGUUAUUAUAUAAU
rnacentral:misc_RNA from 1 species